ACCCAUUGUUAUCUUACCUUUAAUAUUGUUCUUAUUCAAUUCUACCAUCUUUCAUAUUUACACUUAUCUGUCUAUCUUGGUUAAGUUAGAGCGUAGUUGGUUCUCCCGUUUCCCUGUGGAUAUGAUAAAACCUUUAACCGGGUAAAAGCAACAACGGUAUCCGUGCGCUUGCGGAUUUAUCUUUGUGCGUAUAAAUACCAUAGUACACUCUAGUGCCAUGCUGGGGAUGAUAAUCUAGUAUUCAAGUGGUGUUAGCAAGUGUCAACAAGCAUUUUUGGUGCCGUUGCCGGGG
rnacentral:lncRNA from 1 species